GCGGAGGGAUCAUUACUGAGUGAGGGCCUUUGGGCUCGACCUCCAACCCUUUGUGAACACAACUUGUUGCUUCGGGGGCGACCCUGCCGUUUCGACGGCGAGCGCCCCCGGAGGCCUUCAAACACUGCAUCUUUGCGUCGGAGUUUAAGUAAAUUUAAACAAAACUUUCAACAACGGAUCUCUUGGUUCUGGCAUCGAUGAAGAACGCAGCGAAAUGCGAUAAGUAAUGUGAAUUGCAGAAUUCAGUGAAUCAUCGAAUCUUUGAACGCACAUUGCGCCCUCUGGUAUUCCGGAGGGCAUGCCUGUUCGAGCGUCAUUUCACCACUCAAGCCUGGCUUGGUAUUGGGCGCCGCGGUGUUCCGCGCGCCUCAAAGUCUCCGGCUGAGCUGUCCGUCUCCAAGCGUUGUGAUUUCAUUAAUCGCUUCGGGGUGCGGGUGGCCGCGGCCGUUAAAUCUUUCACAAGGUUGACCUCGGAUCAGGUAGGGAUACCCGCUG
rnacentral:rRNA from 1 species